rnacentral:rRNA from 1 species
GAGACGCUGGCGGCGUGGAUUAGGCAUGCAAGUCGAACGGUAGGAUACCUUCGGGUAUCUGAGAGUGGCGAACGGGUGAGUAACACGUAGGUGAUCUACCCUCAAGAUUGGGACAACCCAGGGAAACUUGGGCUAAUACCGGAUGAAAGCAGCAGUGAUGUUGUUUGAAAGGUGGCGUAAGCUGCCGUUUGGGGAUGAGCCUGCGCUCUAUUAGUUAGUUGGCGGGGUAAAGGCCCACCAAGGCGAUGAUAGAUAGGCGGCCUUAACGGGUGGUCGCCCACACUGGGAUUGAGAUACGGCCCAGACUCCUACGGGAGGCAGCAGUCGAGAAUAGUCUACAAUGGCCGAAAGGCUGAUAGUGCGACGCCGCGUGAACGAAGAAGCCCUUCGGGGUGUAAAGUUCUUUUAUAUGUGAGCAGUGCUUUCUAUGUGAACAGCAUGGGGAGAGAGAUAUUAGCAUAUGAAUAAGCAACGGCUAACUCCGUG